rnacentral:rRNA from 1 species
UACGAACGGUGCAAGCGUUGUUCGGAAUUACUGGGCUUGAAGAGUGCGUAGGCGGCUUUGUAAGUAGGAUGUGAAAGCCUCCGGCUUAACCGGGGAAUUGCGCUCUAAACUGCAAGGCUGGAGUGAGGUAGGGGUGUGUGGAACUUCUAGUGGAGCGGUGAAAUGUGUUGAUAUUAGAAGGAACGCCGGUGGCGAAAGCGACACACUGGACCUUGUCUGACGCUGAGGCACGAAAGCCAGGGGAGCAAACGGG